GGGGCCAAACGGUAGGAGGCGCCAACUCUCGGCCUGUUCCUGUUCACGCUUAUGUGACCCUCCCCCAGCCCUCAAACGAGGCACUGACACCGUCAUCAUCCAUUAUCAGCGAGCUUACCCAUGUCUUCGGUAUAGUUGCGCUUUGAAGGAACUUCAUUGUUCGAUACCUUGCACUUGCGAAUCAACCAAAGACUGAUCCCAGAACACACUGCUGUUCUUCCUGUCCAAAAUGGUGAAGAUAUUUGUUGGCAAUGUAGCUUCAGCGACCACAGAAGACGAGCUCCGUGCUUUGUUUGAGAAAUACGGCGUAGUGUCCGACUGUGACAUUCUGAAAAACUAUGGCUUUGUGCACAUGGAUGAGGAAGAGGCGGCGCAGAAGGCUGUCUCCGCUUUGCACAAGCACGAGGUCAACGGCUCCCGCAUCACUGUUGAGUACGCCACCACCAAGGUACGCAAUGCCACCAAGAUCUACGUGGGCAAUGUUCCCGAAGGCGUCACCGCUGCCAAAAUCAAGGAGCUCUUCCAGCCAUUUGGCAAGGUGGUGGAGUGCGAUAUUGUGAAGAAUUAUGCAUUCGUUCACAUGCAGAGGGAAAGCGAGGCUCUGGAUGCCAUUUCUAAGCUUAACCACUCCAGAUUGGAGGGCCAAAAGAUCUUUGUGUCCCUCUCACGCAGUAACCCAUCCAGAAAUGACCGAGAGGAGGACUAUUUUCCUCCUCCGCCGCAUCACUAUCCACCUCACCCACACCACCAUCCUCACUUUCUCCCCCCACGCCAGCCGCCCCGUGACUACUAUCCGCCUCGUGGCCGACUUCCACCCCCUCCUCUUCCACCGCCGCCACCCCGCGCCUACUAUGAGCGAGAUGUGUAUGAGAGGGGCCUUCGUCACGACCCGUAUGCUGCGCCAUCCCCGCGUUUUUAUGAUCGGGAUCCAUACGACCGGUGCAUUCCGCCCCCUCAGCGGCCGGUCACGCCUCCUCUGGCCAGUCGCUACUACCGUGAGCGCAGCCCUCUUGGCGGUCGCCGCUCUCUCCUGCCUCCGCCUCCCCCUCCACCCUCUUCUGCCGGUUUUGCCCGGGGUUUCGCCCGCAACGGCGCUAGCUCUGUGCCCCCUCCCCCUCCCGCCGCUCCUUCCUCCCACUAUCAGCGCUACUCUCUCAGCCCAGGCUUUGAUAAGGAUGAUUAUUUGGAGGACAAGUACAGCAAUGGCUUCAGCCGUAGCUACUAAGCAUUGAAGUUUGUCCGUCCCCUUAUUUUCGAGGAGCUGAGUAAUCUAAGAGGGGCUUACCAUCAGGGAGUUAGGGGUGACUUUUAUGUAAUAUUCUGUGAUAGUUGUAGCGAUUUUAGAUAUCGGGUCAAUCAGCUAAUACUGUACUCAUUUAACUAAUAAAUUUUACCUCCGCCCGAUGAAGGAACAGCAAAUAGGAAGUUAAAUGAACAUGAAUAUUUAUAGCAUGUUAUGUUGUAUUAUAUUUGCCAGGCAUAUUGUUUGAGUAUUUUCUUUAAGUAAUUUUUUUUUUUUUUAUCAAAUCAUUCAUUUUACUUUGGCAUGCACUUUGAAAAUACAAAAGAACGCUUGAAUAUAUAUAUAUAUAUAUAUAUAUUAAUUAUUAUAAUACUUUUUUCCCAUCGAUAUUUCAACAUAGUCUACCCAACAAGAAAUUUGUCGUUGAACGUUUACUUUUGUUUUCUGUUUGGCAUUUAAGAAUAUUCAAGUGUUUUAGUUUUCACUUUCUUUUGCAUGAGACGAGUUAAUUGGGAGGUAAUUUGAAUUUUCAUUAAGGGAAAAAAAUUUUAUACUGUCUUUUUUUUUAAGUUUAUAAUUUCUUUUUUU